GAUGAACGCUGGCGGCGUGCCUAAUACAUGCAAGUCGAGCGAACAGACGAGGAGCUUGCUCCUCUGACGUUAGCGGCGGACGGGUGAGUAACACGUGGAUAACCUACCUAUAAGACUGGGAUAACUUCGGGAAACCGGAGCUAAUACCGGAUAAUAUAUUGAACCGCAUGGUUCAAUAGUGAAAGACGGUUUUGCUGUCACUUAUAGAUGGAUCCGCGCCGCAUUAGCUAGUUGGUAAGGUAACGGCUUACCAAGGCAACGAUGCGUAGCCGACCUGAGAGGGUGAUCGGCCACACUGGAACUGAGACACGGUCCAGACUCCUACGGGAGGCAGCAGUAGGGAAUCUUCCGCAAUGGGCGAAAGUCUGACGGAGCAACGCCGCGUGAGUGAUGAAGGUCUUCGGAUCGUAAAACUCUGUUAUUAGGGAAGAACAAAUGUGUAAGUAACUAUGCACGUCUUGACGGUACCUAAUCAGAAAGCCACGGCUAACUACGUG
rnacentral:rRNA from 1 species